CCAACAUCACCUAUAACACUAAACACUCAAUAAUAAACAAUAGCGGACCCGGAAGAACUAAACAAACAGGGCUUAUAAACACGAGGAAGGCAAUCAGAGGAGUGAAAACAGGUGGGGAGUAAUCAAAAGACAGAACGAGGAACGGAACAUGACCAAAUAAGGAAAACACAGACGAAACAGAAGUCCAUAACCGUGACAGUUCGCCCCCUCCCGGAACGGUGCGUCCACGCACCGACAGAAAGUUCAGAGGAGGGAGGGUGGGGGUUCAGGAGGUGGGCGAGGGGCAGGCAAGGGGCAGGCGACGGAGAAGACACAGAGCAUCGAACCAGGGUGGAGUGGACGGGGGGAGGAGCCAGGGUGGAGCCCGGAGCAGGAGGAGCCAGAUGGGUAUCCAGAGGCCAGCCAGGAAAGCGGCCCAUGGUGGAGUCGACGGUGGGAGGAGCCAUGGUGGAGGAGGGGCCGACAACACCAGGGGGCCGACUGACGGAGACUGAGCCGAUGGCAGAGGAGUCCAAGACGGAGCCGAGCAACCGCAGAGCCAGGGUGACCCCGAGGAUCCGGAGGGCCAAGGCGGAGCAGAAGGCUCAGGCGACCAAGGCGGAGACGGGGCACCGGAAGACCACUGCGGAGCCGGAGUGACUGAGGAUGGGGGUGGAGCCGAAGGGAAGGAGGAGCCUGACAGAGCCGGAGGGAUGGAGCGACGAGGCGAAGCCAGAGGAAUGGAGUCCCGAGGCGGCGGAUGGUCGACGACUGACCAAGGUGGAGCCGGAGGGACGAGGGAGCCCGGUGGAGCAGGAGUGUGGGCGGGGCGCUCCUCCACGCCCUCGAUCUCCACCAAUCGUCCCACGACGCACGGGGUUGCCGGCUCACACACCUGGUCAGUCGCACUCUCGAGUUCCUCCUCCCUGUCGGCGAUAGGCUCGGGCUCUGCGGCGGUCUCUAGCUCCGUGCAGCGGGGUGAUGGCUGGCUGGUCUCUGGGUCGGGAGUGGGGCUGGAGAUCUCCUCCUCAGCGGGGCAGACGGUGAACGGAGCUCCGUUUUGCUCCAGCACCCACUCCACGAACGCGGCGAAAUCCUCUCUGGGACCGUUCGCUGGGAGGCGUGCCUUACACCGCUCGCUCAGGCCAGCAUAGUAAAACGCACAGAGCGAGCGGUCCGGGAAGUCUGUAAGGCACGCCAGAUCGAAAAAGUCCCUGGUAUGGUCCUCCAGCGAACGGUCCAGUUGCUCCAGGCAUAGGAGUCGGACGGCUGGGAUCUCCAUUCCGAGAGGGGGCAAAACAAACAAAAAAAAAAAAAACAUGAAAAGAAAAAACGCCGCUAAACUGUAACGGUCCGCUAUUCUGUCACACCCGGGCUGGCGUGCUGAGUAAAGCUCUCGAAGAAGAAGGUAUAACAGGGUAUUAUUUAAUAAUCC
ensembl:lncRNA